GCAAGACCGGAAGGGGCGGGACCGAGAGACCGCGCUGUCGGGGCUGGCCCCUGGGGGCUGAGAGGUGCUGACGGGCCCUUCGGGACGGCGUUGUGGGAAGAAACGCCGUGGGGAAGGCGGAUCUGAGAUAUUCGAGGGGCCCCAGGUUACUCUAAAGCAUCUGGAGCCGACGAGAAGGCGCUGGUUUCCGGGGGGGAAUCCGGGGAGACGAGAGCGAAGGAGGGAAUCGCAGGAACCCGGACAGCUGUGCUGUUUGACCCAGAACAGCCUGCCAAGGAAACCAGAAGGUGAAGAGCAGGGUUCCUGAUCUGACCCAAAGACCUGCAUGUGACCUGGAACAAGCAUUUUUCUAUCUUUCCUCAGUCCCAGAGGCUGGUUCCGGAAAAGACUUCAGCCUCCCAAGAACAUGUUACUGCCAAGUGCAUCUGCAGUGGCCACUGUGAGCCAGACAGUGAGGAGAAAAUGAGGCAGAGCAGGGCAGGGAGGAGCUCUGAAUCCAGGAUUCAUUUCCCUAUCUGGUGAAGGGAGAAGAGGUGGAAGUGAAACCGCUCAACAGGGCUCACCCAACCAGAAAACAUCAGAAGGGGCAUCUCAGUGUCUGGGAAACAAGCUAGAACCAACAUAGCUGAGAAAGCCCCAACCUAUAUGGGGUUCAGGGGUAAGAGGAAGAAAAUAAAAAUGGAGACAUGAUAAUCACCUUCCUUUCAAUGGAGUUGAUAGGAAAUACAUCUUUGAAAUUGAUCAAAUUAAAAAGAUUUUUAAUUUAGAGGAGAGAGAGAAGCAGAGACACAGGCAGAGGGAGAAGCAGGCGCCAUGCAAGGAGCCUGACAUGAGACUCAAUCCCGGGUGUCCAGAAUCAGGCCCUGGGCCGAAGGCGGCGCUAAACCACUUGAGUCACCCGGGCUGCCCUUUUUUUCUGUUUUAUUUCUUCUUGAAAUUUUUAUCUUCUUUAUACGAGAUGUCUCUAAUAUUUUACUACUUAGUAUAAAAUUAAUUCUUUGCUUUAUAAAUUUUUAAAAAAUAAAUAUGUCUUUUUUAUAAAUUUGUGUAGAACUGUAGUAAAAGCCCCUGAUACUUCUUAACAAAAUGAUAGAACUUAAUUGUUAAAAUUAAUUGUAUGUUGUAUUUAUUCAACUGUUUUUGUUUUGAAUUAAACUUGCAAUAUAAUAAUGAA